UACGUAGGUGGCAAGCGUUGUCCGGAUUUACUGGGUGUAAAGGGCGUGUAGCCGGGCUGACAAGUCAGAUGUGAAAUCCGGGGGCUCAACCCCCGAACUGCAUUUGAAACUGUUGGUCUUGAGUAUCGGAGAGGCAGGCGGAAUUCAUAGUGUAGCGGUGAAAUGCGUAGAUAUAUGGAGGAACACCGGUGGCGAAAGCGGCUCUCUGGCCUGUAACUGACACUGAGGCUCGAAAGCGUGGGGAGCAAACAGG
rnacentral:rRNA from 1 species